ensembl:misc_RNA Metazoa_SRP Metazoan signal recognition particle RNA
GCCGGGUGCGGUGGCUCACGCCUGUAAUCCCAGCUCUUUGGGAGGCUGAGGCGGGCGGAUUGCCUGAGCUCAGGAGUUGGUGACCAGCCUGGGCAACAUGGUGAAACCCCGUCUCUA